CCCUUAGAUGUUCUGGGCCGCACGCGCGCUACACUGACGAAUGCAACGAGCUUAUAACCUUGGCCGAAAGGUCUGGGUAAUCUCCAAAUUUCGUCGUGAUGGGGAUAGAUUAUUGCAAUUAUUAAUCUUCAACGAGGAAUGCCUAGUAAGCGCAAGUCAUCAACUUGCAUUGAUUACGUCCCUGCCCUUUGUACACACCGCCCGUCGCACCUACCGAUUGAAUGGUCCGGUGAAGCCUCCGGAUUGGCGCGCACCUCGGUGCCGCCGAGAAGUUGGCUAAACCUUACCAUUUAGAGGAAGGUGAANUCGUANCA
rnacentral:rRNA from 1 species